rnacentral:rRNA from 1 species
AUCAAUAAGCGGAGGAAAAGAAACCAACAGGGAUUGCCUCAGUAGCGGCGAGUGAAGCGGCAAAAGCUCAGAUUUGAAAUCCGGUGCGCCUUGCGCUCCCGAGUUGUAAUCUGGAGAGGAUGCUUCGGCGAGAACCCAGGCCCAAGUCCCUUGGAACAGGGCGUCUUAGAGGGUGAGAACCCCGUACCCGGCUGCGGUUUUAGCCAUGUGUAGCUCCUUCGACGAGUCGAGUUGUUUGGGAAUGCAGCUCAAACUGGGUGGUAAAUUCCAUCUAAAGCUAAAUAUCGGCGGGAGACCGAUAGCGCACAAGUAGAGUGAUCGAAAGAUGAAAAGCACUUUGAAAAGAGAGUUAAAAAGUACGUGAAAUUGUUGAAAGGGAAGCGCUUGCCAUCAGAAUCGGUGCCGGUCGAUCAACGUUCCUUCUGGUUCGUGCACUCGUCCGGUUUUCCGUGCCAGCAUCGGUUGGUGCGGCGGGACAAAAGCUGCGGGAAAGUGGCUCCCCUCGGGGAGUGUUAUAGCCCGCGGCACAAUACCGCCUGCUGCCGACCGAGGACCGCGCUUUUUGCAAGGAUGCUGGCCUAAUGGUUGUAAGCGACCCGUCUUGAAACACGGACCAAGGAGUCUAACAUCUACGCGAGUGUUCGGGUGUAAAACCCGCACGCGAAAUGAAAGUGAACGGAGGCGAGAGCCCGCAAGGGUGCAUCGUCGACCGAUCCUGAUGUCCUCGGAUGGAUUUGAGUAGGAGCGUAGCUGUUGGGACCCGAAAGAUGGUGAACUAUGCCUGAAUAGGGUGAAGCCAGAGGAAACUCUGGUGGAGGCUCGCAGCGGUUCUGACGUGCAAAUCGAUCGUCAAAUUUGGGUAUAGGGGCGAAAGACUAAUCGAACCAUCUAGUAGCUGGU